AGAGAGUGAAAUCACAUCACUGAAGAAUCUGGGAAAGAGAUCACAUCACCAUUAAAAGCCUCCGAUUGCAACUCCCUCACUCAUAUACAGCCGUUACUUUGCCGUUCCAUGGCGACUGUGAGCGAGGCAUUUCCUCGGGACCAUUGUGCCUGGGUCUCUCUUCAUGUUGCAGAGACAUAUAUCUCCCCCACCAUUGAAGACCUUACAACCUGAUUGUAAGCUUAUUGUGGACAAGGCAAAUACCAUUAUCAUUAUUAUCAUGAUGGCAAGGUUCUCCUUGGAAAGAAGACACUGGCGGGGAGCUACAUUUUCCCCGGGACAAAACCUCCGAUCAGCAGCCAGAGGGCAGUGGAAUCACAACAAAGAAACAGUGCUUGGCACCUAACCACAUCUCCACAACAGUGUCCACUGGGACUAAUUGCCUUCAUCUCCCCACAUGGGACUUUCCCCUUGACUCCUGUCUCCAAAAGCCGCAUCAGGUCAUUAAA